UGGUGAAACCGUUUCUCCACGGUUGUCUCUUUUUUUUUAUUUAUUUAUUUUUUUAACGAAGAUACUGCACGUACACACCUCAUUAAAUGUUUCCUACUUGCACAGAGGCAUCGACUCUUGACCUUUCCUCCCCACCACCAGCAAAGUGUGAGGAGAGGGAAAGCUGAGGUCAGGAGUCUUAAAUGACAAGCUUUUGACCAGUGAUCCUACUUUCAAAUUCUCAGCUGCACAUCUGUUCCUGUGUUUGGCAGCUACUUACGUUUGAAGCAGCUUGGGCCUGAUGAGGAAGAGGACCUUCUUGAAAGAAAAUCAGCAGAUGAAAUCUGGAUACUUCGUCCUUCCCCAUGAGACCUGGAGGGCUCUUGCAUUCGUGAGCCUUUCUGCUCAGCCCUGAAGAGGUGAGCAUCUGGGACACAAACAGAAACCCCUCACUCAUCAACUACAGAGUGCACUCGAGUUGAGCAGCUGUUUGCCUUUCCGUGCUACAAUAUCCUAGAAACCCCAAGGUAUCUCAGGUAUGUUCAGAGAAGAAAGAAGGAAAAAAAAAAAAGCACCUCUAGACUUUUCACGACAUAAGAAAGCAUAAAAGCCUGCCUAAUAUUUCAUACAAAUAACCCUG
rnacentral:lncRNA from 1 species